UUGCUGCCGAGGGAGCUCUCACUUGUGCAGGUUCUUUCACACAGUGAUUUAGUCAGGCAUGGCCUGCUCAGGAGAACAGGAGCCAGGGGCUGGUUAGGACUACUCUAAGAGUUGUAAAACCCCAACACGGAGCAGCUUCUUGUGGAGCCCAGAAUUAAAGGGGUAGGCCAUGACUAACAGUGAGACUCCCCAAGAGUGGACCGUCUCAGCAUUAGCUGUCAUCGCCACUUUGGUGGUUCUCAAGUUGCUUUUCAAAGGGUUGUCAAGAGACCUUUUCUUCUGUCCGAUGCUCUUCAUUUGACUGACGGAGGGCCAGGCCCGAGGCUGCAGUAUCACCCCUGGGCAGGUGGUGGUUGAGCAAGCCAAUUGUGCUCCCUGGCUAUGAACCAGCCUCUGCCCGGCUGCCCUCAGGUGGUCUGUGAUGUGAAAGCAUGCGCCCUUGCCUCCCCAUGUCGCCUUUGCUCGAAUAGCACCACUGCAGAGAAGCAGGUAGACAUGCCCUCCCUCACUGCAAACUGUUCUGAUCAUGCCCUUCUCUGCAUGAGGGAGUGAGGGCACAGGAGGCCGCUUCCUGCAGGCCUGUGAAGGUGCCUGACGCGCAAUUCCAGUGUCAGCCAGACACACUGCGCCCACGGACCAUGCUCUUCUCUGCCUGGAGCAGACCUCCUAACCCUGACUCGCGCUGUCCUCUCUGCCUGUUUUAACGCCGGUGCUCAAGGGCAUGGAACACAGAAGGCCGAGACACAAACUGUCCACCAGAGUGGCCUUGUGAGCUAGCCUGGCAUCUCAGUGCUCUGUGUCAGGGCCGGGCUGUCUAGACGAGUCAUGGGAGUGUUGCUCACCUCAUCUGUGGUCGGUUUGAAUAUCAGCCGUUGGAAUGCUUUUAAGGGAAGUGGGUAUUGUGGGCAGUUAACAAAAAGCAGCAGUUAACUUUCUAAAUUAUUUAUCUGUCCUCUGUGAACUUUAGCUAGAUAAUCAUCACCCGAGAGCUGACCACUCAGAAUCCAGGCUUCUUAAAAUGGAGCCGCCAGGACCCUGCAUUUGCAGUGAGUGCCCUCGUGUGCACAGAGCGGCAGGUUGGACAGCUGCCUCCAAUGCCCGGGCAUGCUCACCUGCAGUUUCCGUUAAUCUUCGGUGGGCUGGGGAAGCUGGCUGUUCACUGGCAAGGGAAACCAUUCUUGGGUGAAAAAGUAUGUAUAGGAAUAUGUAACGCAGUUGACAGAGGAGGAGAGUCACCCCAGGGCAAUGGAUUCUCAUGCCGCUCAGCCUUCUAGCCACAGUGACGUCAGAGGACUGCUGGCCUGUGCUUCGCAGGGUGCUGCGGGCAGCGUGGGCUGUCAGUGCAGCCGCCGCACGGUCUUCUCUGUCAUUAGCUCCUUAGGACAGAUAGCUCACGCCUCAGGUUUGAAACUGUUCUUUCUUCCUUUCCUUUCCUUACUCUCCACACGCACGCGCACGUGCACGUGUGGACACACACACACACACACACAUAUACACAUGAACACAUGCAGACGUGAACACACACACACAAACACACCCACACGGAUACACACAGAAACACACAUACAUCAGCCCUGGGUAGCCUCCUCUGUUGCUGUCCUCCUUGUCUUUUGAAACCCGGGGUCACUGUUGCAGCUAGACUGGCUGGCCAGCCCUGGGGUCCUGCUGUCUGUGCAGUCACACCCAGCAGUGAGCUGCGUGCUGCCAGGCCUGCUUUUCCAUGGGUACUGGCAGGCUGAGCUCAGGCUGUUACUCUACCCACGUCCGGCCACCCCACAGCCUGGCUGCUUCCCGACCUCCUGUCCCUCCCAGCAGUGCCUGUUGGUUUGGCUAAAUCAAGACUUGAGUGUGAUUGCACGCAACAAAAGUGACUACAGAAAAGCCCUUUAUUUGGAAUGGCUUUAUUUAGAAGGAAAGGUAUGAGGUAAGUAGCUGCCACCCAGCGGCCCCAGGAGAAGCUUCCAGGUCACAGCCAAGGAGCUUUCGUCAGCUGCCUUCACCUCCACCGCGGCACAGGCUCCAGAGGGUUUUUCAUUUUCUCAGUACUGCUAACAGUUUCCUAGAAAUGAAAGAUAUGGAAGAGAUUGUUUGAUGCUUGCCUCUUUGCUAGAACUUGUGCUCUGUGAAAACCAGAGACCUCGCCAGUCUUUCUUAGCCUGCUGUAUCAGUGUAGGGUGCUUUAACCCCGAGCUUGGACUUUCUUAGCCAUGCAGACGUGUCUCCUGGCAUCAAGGGCUGGAAGGCCCAGAUCAGCAUUAGCUCAUGUGGUGUUGAGACGGCCCGUCUCCUGCCUGUCUCCCUCACCUCCUGUGCUCAGAGAGGUGAGGUGUCUACCUAAGUGCUUUUUGUGAGGACACUGGUCCUGGUGAGACCGGUGCCUAACCUGCCAAAAGCCCCACGCCCUUCUGUCACCACAUUAGACUUCAGAGGGAUGGAGGCAUGGCCCAGCAGUUUUCCAGAGGACCUGGGUCAGUCCCCAAGGCCCACAUGGCGGCUCACAGCCGUCCAUACUGGUUCCAGGGGCUCUGACGUUCUCCUUUGAUCUCAGCAGGCACCAACUGCAUAUGUGGUCCGUGGACAGGCCAAGCACGCAUAUGCAUAAAAUAAAAUUCACUAAAAUGUACAUUCCAUGGUGAAUUUUAAGGCACAAGAUCGUUUGGCCGAUAGGUUUUCCUCAGCGUAGUGGUCCUCGCCAGGGGCACAGGUGGAGGGCCGAUGGGGUGGGUCUGCCUGAGCCACUUGACAGAGCUGCUGUGGCCUCCUGUGGCUUGGCAUGCUACAGCUGCCUCUGAACUGUCGCCCUGACAUCAUGGCUGCGCCUUCUCCCCCUCUCCCCAAGCUUCUCUCUAAUGCGGCCGUGCUCUGGUCUUUGCCCUGAGAAUGGCCCUGCAGUGCCCUGUAGUCCACAGAAGCUGACUGGAGUUCUCUUCAGAUCCGCUGCUGGGCAGACGUGAGCUUCACAAGAGGACCGUGCAUCCCCGUGAUCCCUGCUUGGUGACGCUGCCUGUUACUGUGUGCACACAGCGUGUGUGUGACCUGGUUGUGACUAGUUAACCAGGUGACCCCCUCAGUAAAUCUUGCUGUUUCUUCCCGGUCCCUCAGCGUGGAGCAGAGUGUCCAAAAGCAGCAGCUGUGACUGAAUUCCCACCUGCCUGUACCAGUUGUCUCGUUGUUGGUAUCUGUCCCUUCCCCUCUUCUCUGCUUUCCUCUGCCAGCUUGCCUAAGAGAGUACAUAUGAUUAGAGUAAAGGAUCGAGUCUCCGAUUUCUGGGGUGUAGCUUAGGAGUGGCGUGCACCCAGCUCCUGGGCUCACAUGAAAAGAAAGUGGGCUUGGUGAUGUAUUUAAAAGAGCAAAAUGUGUUUUUGAAAAUUAUUUAUAGGAUCUUACCUAGAAUCAGAGACUCCAUUCGCUUGGAUUUCCUCACAAUAUUCUUCUCAUGCAAAAGAGCUGUCAAACUUUUGCUUUAAUUGAGAACUUGGGCAUCUGGUGCCCUGUAUCUAACACUUGGCUCUGAGGUUGAGCCGUCUCCCUCACACCUGUCUUGAAACAUGGGGCUUCCUGGAGGAGCCAGGCUCAGCCCCCUCAGCACAGUGAGGAAGCUGGAGGAAGGCACAGCUCAGCGCAGCGACAGGAGGCAGGGAGGAAGGAGUGGCUGGGCUCGCCCGCACACUUGACUGACAGGAGAUUCUGGAAGGAAAGCCGCAGUCGCUUGUUCAAGAUGUUAUGGCGCCUUCAGACAGUCUGUGCAGAGCGAGUCUCCCCCGGAGACUUGGUUCCUGUGGUAGGACUUAGGCUUUAAACCCUGUAGGGAUUUCAGGGCCAGAAUGGCUUGCCAGGGCAUCUAACAUGUCUCAUGUACCCAGUGAGGUGUCACCAGAAGCCUGUGCGAUCAUGAUGUCAUACUCCAGCAUGAAACACAGUGAUGUUUGUUACGUUAAACCAGAGUUGUCUUAGCACUGGCGUUUCUGACAUUGUGGCUUCAUCUUAUUUAAUUAUUUGUUUGUUUGUUUGUUUAUUUAUUUUUGAGGCAGGGUUUCUCUGUGUAGCUCUGGCUGUCCUGGACUCACCUUGUAGACCAGGCUGGCCACGAACUCACACCUGCCUCUGCCUCCUGAGUGCUGCGAUCACAGGCAUGAACUGUUAUGCCCAGCUUCAUCUUCUGAUUUUUAAGAUAAGUUCUCAUUGUGCAGUCUAGGCUGGAACUCUCUAUAACCUAAGCUGAGUGUGACUUGGUAGUCCCCCUGCCUCAGCCCAAAUAGUAGCACUCUAGUCAUGUGUUACUACACCUGGCCAUGCCCCCACGGUUCUUGACUGUGGCCUCGUCCCCGUCGGCAGGGCCCAGCUUUCCCUCGAUGCUUCCAGAUACUGCCAGAUGGUUCUGGAGGGCACUGCCCAGUGGUACCACAGUGGUGGGGGAUGAGGUAGGUAGAAUACUGGAAAGAGCGUCCCCGCCUGAGGAGCUCGUGACCCGAGAAGUUUGUUGAGGCGGCUAACCAGAUAGGGUAUUUCGAGUAGUUGACUGAAAUAGGCUCGGUGGAGGCUAUUAGGAAAAACUUGUUUCAAAGAAGUUUAACAUCUGUUUUCAUUUCUGCUUUUUAGGUGCCUAGCUGCCCAAUUCCUUUAUUUCAACUGUCUUCCUCUUGGACUUAAAAUAUUUGAGUAUGUCACAAUUUCCAGUCCAAUAGGAAAUAGACUUUGGUCAAGCAGAAAUAAACGUGUGAAUAACGGGACUGGAGGAUGGGAAAUGCAGCUCGUCAAGUCAGACUCAGUACCUCCAUGGAAAAGUCAUUCUUACAAGUACAGAAGCCAGAAAUAAAUCUUCUCAGUCUGAGAAACAGAAAACUCAAAAGGCAGUCAGAACCUUUGUGAGUUUUGUUUUGAAUUGACUGUACCAGUUCUCCCGUGGGACAAGAAGCAGUGUGACGCCAAGCUGGGAGUGGCUUAUGCGGGCAGGACUUGGAGAUGCUGUUCUGAACAAGGAAAGACCAGGACUUCUAGAAAGCAUCAAUGACGAGAAGCAGCACAUGUGAGCUAUGGAGAGAGGCUUUGGAUUCCGAGGAAAACAGACAGUUGGAAAUUGAGCUAAACUGGGCCAUGUGUUUCCUGCCACUUUGUCCCUCUUUCCUGACAACUACCGUCUGCAGAGAUUCUCUGAGUUUAGAAUGUGUGUUAUCAGAAAUAAAUACAUGUAAACAGUUA